UAAGAUAAUUUUGUUACUUCCAAUACAGAAACCAGAUGACAUUAUGCUGUUAAAAUGACUGCUUGUGUAUUGCGUUUGUGCAUCUUUGCAGGAUCUGAAAUGUCUGCAGACUGGUGUGAGUAGUGAGGAUGGAGGAGUCCACAGCAGUAUCCUGGAAAUGGUUCAGUGCCGCUCCAUCACUCCACCUCUUACUGCCUCAUCUGGGCCGGAUGCUGCUGUGGUCUCUUCAUCCUCAGUGACCCCAGAGCCAGCGAGAGCAUCUAGAGCAGGGGUGCCCAAGUGAUCCUAAAUACCCUAAUUACUUGCCUCAGGUGUGUUUGAUUAGGGCUGGAGCUGAAUUUUGCAGGAGAGUCGAUUGCCAGGAGCAGGGCUGGGCACCCCUGAUCUAGAGAAACACCAAAAGACACUGAGGAUGGACCUACAAUCCACUGGAACAACCUGGAUUGCUUAAGGACAUACUGGUGGUUUUGAACCAGCAACCUUCUGCUCACCAGUUCAGUGGUUUAGCCCACUACAAAAGUAGUCGUGCUCAUGGAAAGCAGCACACAGAUGUUUGGAGCAGACACAGUGGCCGCCAGAUUGUCCCACAUGUGUUCCCCUGCUUUUGCUUCUAGCUUGUGUGGUUCAGAGCCGUCAUCAUGGUCUUCCUCAUCCUCUUGCUCAACGAUGUCCCCAUUGAGAAGAGCGAGAUUGUGAAGCACAGCGCAGCAGCAGAACUGUCUCAGCUGUGUUGAGAUGGCAGUAUGAUGUGGGAUUCACCAUCUGUAAAUACAUGAUUGUUAGAACAAUACGUUUGAAUUAAGCUUUGUUUCAUCUGUUGUUGACUUGUAUAUGUAUUUAUUGUGAUGCUUAUUUUUAUUCAUUACUUUACUCAUUCAUGUUUAUUGU